ensembl:ncRNA lncRNA:CR44727 long non-coding RNA:CR44727
GCUGCGGGAGGUUGCCACAAAAGUCGCACUGUUAAGUGAACUGGGCUUCUGUUAUCAACAGUUCAUUUUCGAACGAGCCCCAAUAAUAACAUAAUAAAUUACUAAAGUUGAUAUAAAGCCGGAACUGCUUUGGCUUGACUUAAUGUCACCACUGAUAAUGCGUCAACAAGACAAAGACUUGGGGUCUCGCAAUCUUCUGCGGCACAUUUCAGUUCUUAUCACAAAAAAAAGAAGAAUAACCCAGAAAAAAUAACCAGCAACCGCAGCAACAACAACGCUUUGUUUAUUCAAUUUACAAGAUGCCAACAGCUGCGACUAGAAAUCAACCGAUGCAGCGACGGAAACUAUCCGAAGUUGCUGUAUCCCUAACAAAAUUAUUGUAGGAUAUGUAUCUGCUUACACU